UACGUAGGGUGCGAGCGUUGUCCGGAAUUACUGGGCGUAAAGAGUUCGUAGGCGGUUUGUCGCGUCGUUCGUGAAAACUUGGGGCUUAACUCCAAGCGUGCGGGCGAUACGGGCAGACUUGAGUACUACAGGGGAGACUGGAAUUCCUGGUGUAGCGGUGAAAUGCGCAGAUAUCAGGAGGAACACCGGUGGCGAAGGCGGUUCUCUGGGCAUUACCUGACGCUGAGGAGCGAAAGUGUGGGGAGCGAACAGG
rnacentral:rRNA from 1 species